AUGAACGUUGGCGGCGUGGAUUAGGCAUGCGAGUCGAGCGUGUACCCCGCAAGGGGGAAAGCGGCAAACGGGGUAGGAAUGAGUAGGUCACGUACCCUCCGGACGGGGAUAGCCACGGGAAACUGUGGGUAAUAUCCGAUGACGCCGAGAGGCCAAAGGUGUGAUUCCACCGGGGGAGCGGCCUGCUUAGUAUUAGCUAGUUGGUGAGGUAAUGGCUCACCAAGGCCAAGAUGCUUAGGGGAUGUGAGAGCAUGAUCCCCACCACUGGGACUGAGAUACUGCCCAGACACCUACGGGUGGCUGCAGUCGAGAAUCUUCGGCAAUGGGGGCAACCCUGACCGAGCGACGCCGCGUGUGGGAUGAAGGCCCUUGGGUUGUAAACCACUGUCAGAGGGGAUGAAACGCCGGAGGGUACUCCCUCCGGUUUGACAUAGCCUCAGAGGAAGCACGGGCUAAGUUCGU
rnacentral:rRNA from 1 species